rnacentral:rRNA from 1 species
UCAUGGCUCAGAUUGAACGCUGGCGGCAGGCCUAACACAUGCAAGUCGAGCGGAUGAGAGGAGCUUGCUCCUCGAUUCAGCGGCGGACGGGUGAGUAAUGCCUAGGAAUCUGCCUAGUAGUGGGGGACAACGUUUCGAAAGGAACGCUAAUACCGCAUACGUCCUACGGGAGAAAGUGGGGGAUCUUCGGACCUCACGCUAUUAGAUGAGCCUAGGUCGGAUUAGCUAGUUGGUAGGGUAAAGGCCUACCAAGGCGACGAUCCGUAACUGGUCUGAGAGGAUGAUCAGUCACACUGGAACUGAGACACGGUCCAGACUCCUACGGGAGGCAGCAGUGGGGAAUAUUGGACAAUGGGCGAAAGCCUGAUCCAGCCAUGCCGCGUGUGUGAAGAAGGCCCUCGGGUCGUAAAGCACUUUAAGUUGGGAGGAAGGGCUUACAGCGAAUACCUGUGAGUUUUGACGUUACCGACAGAAUAAGCACCGGCUAACUUCGUGCCAGCAGCCGCGGUAAUACGAAGGGUGCAAGCGUUAAUCGGAAUUACUGGGCGUAAAGCGCGCGUAGGUGGCUUGAUAAGUUGGAUGUGAAAUCCCCGGGCUCAACCUGGGAACUGCAUCCAAAACUGUCUGGCUAGAGUGCGGUAGAGGGUAGUGGAAUUUCCAGUGUAGCGGUGAAAUGCGUAGAUAUUGGAAGGAACACCAGUGGCGAAGGCGACUACCUGGACUGACACUGACACUGAGGUGCGAAAGCGUGGGGAGCAAACAGGAUUAGAUACCCUGGUAGUCCACGCCGUAAACGAUGUCAACUAGCCGUUGGGAUCCUUGAGAUCUUAGUGGCGCAGCUAACGCAUUAAGUUGACCGCCU